rnacentral:rRNA from 1 species
UCAAGUGAAUAAGCGCAUACGGUGGAUGCCUUGGCAGUCAGAGGCGAUGAAGGACGUUGUAACAUGCGAUAAGUCUCGGGGAGUUUGUAAACUAACUUUGAUCCGAGAAUUUCCGAAUGGGGAAACCCGGCUUGCAUCAGCAAGUCAUCUUGCAGUGAAUACAUAGCUGCAUGAAGCGAACCUGGGGAACUGAAACAUCUAAGUACCCAGAGGAAAAGAAAUCAACCGAGAUUCCCUUAGUAGCGGCGAGCGAACGGGGAUUAGCCCUUAAGUUAAUACAUUGUUAGUGGAACAGUCUGGAAAGUCUGGCGAUACAGGGUGAUAGCCCCGUACACGAAAACGUGUAUUAGUGAAAACGAGUAGGUCGGAGCACGUGAAACUUUGACUGAACAUGGGGGGACCAUCCUCCAAGGCUAAAUACUCCUUACUGACCGAUAGUGAACCAGUACCGUGAGGGAAAGGCGAAAAGAACCCCGGAGAGGGGAGUGAAAUAGAUCCUGAAACCGUAUGCGUACAAGCAGUGGGAGCACCUUCGUGGUGUGACUGCGUACCUUUUGUAUAAUGGGUCAGCGACUUAAUCUCAGUGGCAAGCUUAACCGAAUAGGGGAGGCGUAGCGAAAGCGAGUCUUAAUAGGGCGUUUAGUCGCUGGGAUUAGACCCGAAACCGGGCGAUCUAUCCAUGACCAGGCUGAAGGUGAGGUAAUACUUACUGGAGGGCCGAACCCACGUAUGUUGAAAAAUCCGGGGAUGAGUUGUGGAUCGGAGUGAAAGGCUAAUCAAGCUCGGAGAUAGCUGGUUCUCCUCGAAAGCUAUUUAGGUAGCGCCUCGUGUAUAACUGUUGGGGGUAGAGCACUGUUUCGGCUAGGGGGUCAUCUCGACUUACCAACCCGAUGCAAACUCCGAAUACCAACAAGUUUGAGCACGGGAGACACACGGCGGGUGAUAAGGUCCGUCGUGAAAAGGGAAACAGCCCAGACCGUCAGCUAAGGUCCCAAAAUCUAUGCUCAGUGGGAAACGAUGUGGAAAGGCACAGACAGCCAGGAGGUUGGCUUAGAAGCAGCCAUCCUUUAAAGAAAGCGUAAUAGCUCACUGGUCGAGUCGGUCUGCGCGGAAGAUUUACCGGGGCUAAGCAUAGUACCGAAGCUACGGGUUCAUACUUUAGUAUGAGCGGUAGAGGAGCGUUCUGUACGCCUGCGAAGGUGAACUGAGAAGUUUGCUGGAGGUAUCAGAAGUGCGAAUGCUGACAUGAGUAACGAUAAUGGGGGUGAAAAACCCCCACGCCGAAAAUCCAAGGUUUCCUGCGCAACGCUAAUCGACGCAGGGUUAGUCGGUACCUAAGGCGAGGCCGAAAGGCGUAGUCGAUGGAAAGCAGGUUAAUAUUCCUGCACCAGUUGUAACUGCGAUGGGGUGACGGAGAAGGCUAGAUCAGCUGACGGUUGGAAGUGUCAGUUUAAGCGUGUAGGGAGUGGACUUAGGCAAAUCCGGGUUCAUAAUUCUGAGACGUGACGACGAGAUGUUCUUCGGAACAACGAAGUGAUUAAUGCCAUGCUUCCAAGAAAAACCUCUAAGCUUCAGGUUACAAGUGGCCGUACCCCAAACCGACACAGGUGGAUGGGAUGAGAAUUCUAAGGCGCUUGAGAGAACUCGGCUGAAGGAACUAGGCAAAAUGGUACCGUAACUUCGGGAGAAGGUACGCUGCUGUUGGUGAUGGGACUUGCUCCCUAAGCUGACGGCAGUCGCAGAUACCAGGUGGCUGCAACUGUUUAUUAAAAACACAGCACUGUGCAAAAUCGUAAGAUGACGUAUACGGUGUGACGCCUGCCCGGUGCCGGAAGGUUAAUUGAUGGGGUUAGACUUAGGUCGAAGCUCUUGAUCGAAGCCCCGGUAAACGGCGGCCGUAACUAUAACGGUCCUAAGGUAGCGAAAUUCCUUGUCGGG